rnacentral:rRNA from 1 species
AGAGUUUGAUCCUGGCUCAGAACAAACGCUGGCGGCGUGGCUAAGACAUGCAAGUCGAACGGACUAUUCAAUUGAGUAAUCGAGAGAAUAGUUAGUGGCGAAAGGGUGCGUAAUGGAUAGGUAACGUACCCCGCGCUCCGGGAUAGCGCCGUUUGCCUUCGGGCAAACUACCGAAAGGGGUGGUAAUACCGGAUAAUAUCAGUUGUCGAUGGGCGACUGAUCAAAGAUUUAUCGGCGUGGGAGCGGCCUAUUUCUUAUCAGCUUGUUGGUAGGGUAACGGCCUACCAAGGCAACGACGGGUAGCGGGACUGAGAGGUUGGCCCGCCACAUCGGGACUGAGACACUGCCCGGACCUCCACGGAGGGCUGCAGUAACGAAUCUUGCGCAAUGGGCGAAAGCCUGACGUAGCAACGCCGCGUGCGGGAGGAAGUCCCUCGGGAUGUAAACCGCUGUCGGGGGUAGGAAAGUUCGCUUCGGCGAAUUGAUCUAACCCAAAGGAAGUCACGGCUAACUUCGUGCCAGCAGCCGCGGUAAGACGAAGGUGGCAAGCGUUGUUCGGUAUCACUGGGCUUAAAGCGUGUGUAGGCGGAAAGAUAAGCGUCUUGUGAAAGUCCUCGGCUUAACCGAGGAAUUGCUUGGCGAACUGUCUUUCUUGAGGCAAGUAGGGGUGCACGGAACUCUUGGUGGAGCGGUGGAAUGCGUAGAUAUCAAGAGGAACGCCGAUGGAGAAAUCAGUGCACUGGGCUUGUCCUGACGCUGAGACACGAAAGCGUGGGGAGCGAACGGGAUUAGAUACCCCGGUAGUCCACGCCGUAAACGAUGUCUACUACGUUGUGGGAGUUCUGACGCUCUCGCGGCCGAAGCAAAAGUGCUAAGUAGACCGCCUGGGGAGUACGGCCGCAAGCUAAAACUCAAAGGAAUUGACGGGGGCUCACACAGCCGGUGGAGCAUGUGAUUAAUUCGAAGCACGCCGCAGAACCUUACCUGGGGUUGACAUGCUUGAUGCGAACCGGGAAACCGGGAUGCUGCCCUCGGGUGAACCUGCACCAGUGCUGCAUGCUGACGUCAGCUCUGCAUGAGGUGUUGGGUUAAGU